AUGUUAUUUAACUUCGUGGCAUCCGCGGCGCCCCCAGAGGGAGCCAUGUCGAACGGGGUUUACGUGCUUCCGAGCGCGGCCAACGGAGAGGUGAAGCCUGUGGUAUCCAGCACGCCUCUGAUGGACUUCUUGAUGCAGCUGGAGGACUAUAAGCCUACGAUCCCAGACGCAGUGACUGGUUACUACUUGAACCGUGCUGGCUUUGAGGCCUCAGACCCACGAUAAUCCGGCUCAUCUCCCUAGCUGCCCAGAAAUUCAUCUCAGAUAUUGCCAACGAUGCCCUACAGCACUGCAAAAUGAAGGGCACAACCUCUGGCAGCUCCCGGAGCAAGAGCAAGGACCGCAAGUACACUCUAACCAUGGAGGACUUGACCCCUGCCCUCAGCGAGUAUGGCAUCAAUGUGAAGAAGCCACACUGCUUCACCUGAGCCACAUCACCUAAAUGCACUUGUCUGUCCCCAUGUCCGCACACCAGCCUGUUUUCAUAAUAAAAUUUAUUGUGACAGGCAAAAAAAAAA